ACUUAAAAAUUGAUUUGCAGGCCCAUCCUCCUGGGUCUGUCAUAGUGCCCCAUGCCAGAGCAAGCUGUGACCUUUAACCAUUGCCUGGACUCUGCCCUUAGGCUGCCAACACUGAAGCAGGUUGCACAGUG